rnacentral:rRNA from 1 species
AACGAACGCUGGCGGCAUGCCUAACACAUGCAAGUCGAACGAGACCUUCGGGUCUAGUGGCGCACGGGUGCGUAACGCGUGGGAACCUGCCCUUAGGUUCGGAAUAACUCCCCGAAAGGGGUGCUAAUACCGGAUAAUGUCUUCGGACCAAAGAUUUAUCGCCUUUGGAUGGGCCCGCGUUGGAUUAGCUAGUUGGUAGGGUAAAAGCCUACCAAGGCGACGAUCCAUAGCUGGUCUGAGAGGAUGAUCAGCCACACUGGGACUGAGACACGGCCCAGACUCCUACGGGGAGCAGCAGUGGGGAAUAUUGGACAAUGGGCGAAAGCCUGAUCCAGCAAUGCCGCGUGAGUGAUGAAGGCCUUAGGGUUGUAAAGCUCUUUUACCCGGGAUGAUAAUGACAGUACCGGGAGAAUAAGCGCCGGCUAACUCCGUG